rnacentral:rRNA from 1 species
CCUACGGGAGGCAGCAGUGGGGAAUUUUGCGCAAUGACCGAAAGGUUGACGCAGCAACGCCGCGUGUAUGAUGAAGGCUUUCGGGUCGUAAAGUACUUUCAGUGGGGAAGAACUGCAUAAUCAGUAACUGGGUUAUGAUUGACGGUACCCACAGAAGCAGCCCCGGCUAACUCCGUGCCAGCAGCCGCGGUAAUACGGAGGGGGCAAGCGUUGUUCGGAGUCACUGGGCGUAAAGAGCUCGUAGGCGGCAGUGUAAGUCGGGAGUUAAAGGCAACAGCUCAACUGUUGUAAGGCUUCUGAAACUACAUUGCUAGAGUGCCAGAGAGGUAUGCGGAAUUCCCUGUGUAGCGGUGAAAUGCGUAGAUAUAGGGAGGAACACCGGUUGCGAAGGCGGCAUACUGGCUGGUAACUGACGCUGUGGAGCGAAAGCGUGGGUAGCAAACA